GACGAACGCUGGCGGCGUGCCUAAUACAUGCAAGUCGAACGCAGUGGGGACGGGUGAGUAACACGUGGGUAACCUCCCAUCAGAGGGGAUAACACUUGGAAACAGGUGCUAAACCGAUACUGAUGGAUGGACCCGCGGUGCAUUAGCUAGUUGGUGAGGUAACGGCUCACCAAGGCCACGAUGCCUAGCCGACCUGGGGGGGUGAUCGGCCACACCGGGAACGGGACAAGGCCCAGAAUCCCACGGGAGGCAGGAGGAGGGAAUUUUCCGGAAAGGACGAAAGGUUGACCGAGCAAAGCCGGGUGAGGUAAAGAGGUUUUUGGAUUGUAAAACCCUGGUGGUAGAGAAGCGGUAUCUAACCAGAAAGCCACGGCUAACUACGUGCCAGCAGCCGCGGUAAUUC
rnacentral:rRNA from 1 species